GACGAACGCUGGCGGCGUGCUUAACACAUGCAAGUCGAACGAAGUGGCGAACGGGAGAGUAAUACGUGGGUAACAUGCCCUCCUUUUUGGGGUAAGCCUUGGAAACGGGGUCUAAUACCGAAUAAAGGGGGAUGGGCUCGCGGCCUAUCAGCUUGUUGGUGGGGUGAUGGCCUACCAAGGCGGUGACGGGUAGCCGGCCUGAGAGGGUGAUCGGCCACAUUGGGACUGAGAUACGGCCCAGACUCCUACGGGAGGCAGCAGUGGGGGAUAUUGCACCAUGGGCGAAAUACACAUGCAGCGACGCCGCGUGGGUGAGGAAGGCUUUAGGGUCGUAAAGUUUGUUCGUUACGUAAAGGGUACGUGGACAAGAAGCGCCGGUUAAUGACGUGCCAGCAGCCGCGGUAAAAC
rnacentral:rRNA from 1 species